CUUGCUUCCAAAGAGACUUAGUGGCGAACGGGUGAGUAACACGUAGGUAACCUGCCCAUGUGUCCGGGAUAACUGCUGGAAACGGUAGCUAAAACCGGAUAGGUAUACAGAGCGCAUGCUCAGUAUAUUAAAGCGCCCAUCAAGGCGUGAACAUGGAUGGACCUGCGGCGCAUUAGCUAGUUGGUGAGGUAACGGCCCACCAAGGCGAUGAUGCGUAGCCGGCCUGAGAGGGUAAACGGCCACAUUGGGACUGAGACACGGCCCAAACUCC
rnacentral:rRNA from 1 species